CAGCAGCCGCGGUAAUACAGAGGGUGCGAGCGUUAAUCGGAUUUACUGGGCGUAAAGCGUGCGUAGGCGGCUUCUUAAGUCGGAUGUGAAAUCCCUGAGCUUAACUUAGGAAUUGCAUUCGAUACUGGGAAGCUAGAGUAUGGGAGAGGAUGGUAGAAUUCCAGGUGUAGCGGUGAAAUGCGUAGAGAUCUGGAGGAAUACCGAUGGCGAAGGCAGCCAUCUGGCCUAAUACUGACGCUGAGGUACGAAAGCAUGGGGAGCAAACAGGAUUAGAUACCCGAGUAGUCCCUGUCUCUUAUCC
rnacentral:rRNA from 1 species